ACACAGCCCUGUUGUAAGCCGCAGCUGGCUCGCUGAAGAUCUGUGGUGACUCCCCAGAUGGAGAAAAAGACGUAUAUAAAUGAAAAGCGAUGCUGCCAUCUGUCCCGGCUUCAGACCCAGACUCUCCAACCAGCUGGAGGAAAAGAGGAAUGAACCUGAUUUCCCUGUUGGAUAAAGAAGAUAACUUAUGCAGAAGCACGAAUUUCAUCCUAAUAAACAAACUCGGUUCUCGCAAUAGUAUUUAUCGUUUCGGAGAAGAAAGUGGCUCGGAGAACGUGCAGCUUUUAUCAGAUAAAAGUGAACAGCUGGGGACGGGGUCUGUUUUCCUUUAAAAUGUAUUUUAUUAUAAUUAUAAAUAAUUAUAAUAAUAA